UAAUACGAAGGGUGCUAGCGUUACUCGGAAUCACUGGGCGUAAAGCGUGCGUAGGCGGAAAUAUAAGUUAGGGGUGAAAUCCCGGGGCUUAACCUCGGAAUUGCCUUUAAAACUGUAUUUCUUGAGUAUGGUAGAGGAUGGUGGAAUUCCUAGUGUAGAGGUGAAAUUCGUAGAUAUUAGGAGGAACACCGGUGGCGAAGGCGGCCAUCUGGGCCAUCACUGACGCUGAGGCACGAAAGCGUGGGUAGCAAACAGG
rnacentral:rRNA from 1 species